rnacentral:rRNA from 1 species
UGAGUAACCUGCCCCAGACUCUGGAAUAACCCCGGGAAACCGGAGCUAAUACCGGAUAUGAAGCGGAGCCGCAUGGCUACCGUUUGGAAAGUUUUUCGGUCUGGGAUGGACUCGCGGCCUAUCAGCUUGUUGGUGAGGUAAUGGCUCACCAAGGCGACGACGGGUAGCCGGCCUGAGAGGGCGACCGGCCACACUGGGACUGAGACACGGCCCAGACUCCUACGGGAGGCAG